rnacentral:rRNA from 1 species
UACGAAGGGGGCUAGCGUUGCUCGGAAUCACUGGGCGUAAAGCGCACGUAGGCGGCUUUCUAAGUCAGGGGUGAAAUCCUGGAGCUCAACUCCAGAACUGCCUUUGAUACUGGAGAGCUUGAGUCCGGAAGAGGUGAGUGGAACUCCGAGUGUAGAGGUGAAAUUCGUAGAUAUUCGGAAGAACACCAGUGGCGAAGGCGGCUUUCUGGGCCUUACCUGACGCUGAGACGCGAAAGCGUGGGGAGCGAACCGG